rnacentral:rRNA from 1 species
AUGCAAGUCGAACGGUAGCACAGAGAGCUUGCUCUCGGGUGACGAGUGGCGGACGGGUGAGUAAUGUCUGGGAAACUGCCCGAUGGAGGGGGAUAACUACUGGAAACGGUAGCUAAUACCGCAUAACGUCGCAAGACCAAAGUGGGGGACCUUCGGGCCUCACACCAUCGGAUGUGCCCAGAUGGGAUUAGCUAGUAGGUGGGGUAAUGGCUCACCUAGGCGACGAUCCCUAGCUGGUCUGAGAGGAUGACCAGCCACACUGGAACUGAGACACGGUCCAGACUCCUACGGGAGGCAGCAGUGGGGAAUAUUGCACAAUGGGCGCAAGCCUGAUGCAGCCAUGCCGCGUGUAUGAAGAAGGCCUUCGGGUUGUAAAGUACUUUCAGCGGGGAGGAAGGCGGUGAAGUUAAUAGCUUCACCGAUUGACGUUACCCGCAGAAGAAGCACCGGCUAACUCCGUGCCAGCAGCCGCGGUAAUACGGAGGGUGCAAGCGUUAAUCGGAAUUACUGGGCGUAAAGCGCACGCAGGCGGUCUGUCAAGUCGGAUGUGAAAUCCCCGGGCUUAACCUGGGAACUGCAUUCGAAACUGGCAGGCUAGAGUCUUGUAGAGGGGGGUAGAAUUCCAGGUGUAGCGGUGAAAUGCGUAGAGAUCUGGAGGAAUACCGGUGGCGAAGGCGGCCCCCUGGACAAAGACUGACGCUCACGUGCGAAAGCGUGGGGAGCAA